AGUGAACGCUGGCGGUAGGCCUAACACAUGCAAGUCGAACGGCAGCACAGAGGAGCUUGCUCCUUGGGUGGCGAGUGGCGGACGGGUGAGGAAUACAUCGGAAUCUACUCUGUCGUGGGGGAUAACGUAGGGAAACUUACGCUAAUACCGCAUACGACCUACGGGUGAAAGCAGGGGAUCUUCGGACCUUGCGCGAUUGAAUGAGCCGAUGUCGGAUUAGCUAGUUGGCGGGGUAAAGGCCCACCAAGGCGACGAUCCGUAGCUGGUCUGAGAGGCUGAUCAGCCACACUGGAACUGUGACACGGUACAGACUCCUACGGGAGGCAGCAGUGGGGAAUAUUGGACAAUGGGCGCAAGCGUGAUCCAGCCAUACCGCGUGGGUGAAGAAGGCCUUCGGGUUGUAAAGCCCUUUUGUUGGGAAAGAAAUCCAUCUGGUUAAUACCCGGGUGGGAUGACGGUACCCAAAGAAUAAGCACCGGCUAACUUCGUGCCAGCCGCCGCCGUAA
rnacentral:rRNA from 1 species